UACGAAGGGGGCUAGCGUUGUUCGGAAUUACUGGGCGUAAAGGGCGCGUAGGCGGCGUGUCAAGUCAGGCGUGAAAGCCCUGGGCUCAACCUAGGAAGUGCAUUCGAAACUACCGAGCUGGAGUUCUGGAGAGGAAGGCGGAAUUCUCGGUGUAGAGGUGAAAUUCGUAGAUAUCGAGAGGAACACCGGUGGCGAAAGGCGGCCUUCUGGACAGUGACUGACGCUGAGACGCGAAAGCGUGGGGAGCAAACAGG
rnacentral:rRNA from 1 species